UUUUCCGGGUCAAGACUCAAGAAUGCAAUUCAUUUUUCAACUCUAUAAUUUGAACACACCUUCGUUAAAAUGUCUAACUCAAGCAGCUGAUUUUGUCUGCCUGUUUCGUGAAAUAAAUAUAUACCAAUAACAGGUUAACGACCAUCUUAGUAAGUAGUAAAUACAAGCAAAGACAUUUUCCUGGAAAUUACAGUGAAUUGGUUGAAGUCCAACCACGGAAAUGGCGUUGUGUUUUGUUGUGUUACUCCUAUCACUAGCAGAUAAACGGGUUUCAACUUGGGAAGAAGCAGAAAGAUCAAAAAAGAUUCGUUCUCCAAUGAUUCCGAAAUACAUUGAAUUAGUGAUUCUUGUUUGCUCUCUUUCUCUGGUUUCACAAGUUUGCUAUGCCGACCCUCCUUAUGAGAUUUGCUCCAGCCAUGAAAAUGGGAGCACCUUCCAGAACAAUCUAAACAACCUUCUCCAAUCCCUACCGUCCAAUGCAUCAN
rnacentral:lncRNA from 1 species